GAUGAACGCUGGCGGCGUGCCUAAUACAUGCAAGUCGAGCGAACGGACGAGAAGCUUGCUUCUCUGAUGUUAGCGGCGGACGGGUGAGUAACACGUGGAUAACCUACCUAUAAGACUGGGAUAACUUCGGGAAACCGGAGCUAAUACCGGAUGAUAUUUUGAACCGCAUGGUUCAAAAGUGAAAGACGGUCUUGCUGUCACUUAUAGAUGGAUCCGCGCUGCAUUAGCUAGUUGGUAAGGUAACGGCUUACCAAGGCAACGAUGCAUAACCGACCUGAGAGGGUGAUCGGCCACACGGGAACUGAGACACGGUCCAGACUCCUACGGGAGGCAGCAGUAGGGAAUCUUCCGCAAUGGGCGAAAGCCUGACGGAGCAACGCCGCGUGAGUGAUGAAGGUCUUCGGAUCGUAAAACUCUGUUAUUAGGGAAGAACAUAUGUGUAAGUAACUGUGCACAUCUUGACGGUACCUAAUCAGAAAGCCACGGCUAACUACGUG
rnacentral:rRNA from 1 species